CCCUAGUAACUGCGAGUGAAGCGGGAAAAGCUCAAAUUUAAAAUCUGGCGGUCUUUGGCUGUCCGAGUUGUAAUCUAGAGAAGUGUUAUCCGCGCUGGACCGUGUACAAGUCUCCUGGAAUGGAGCGUCAUAGAGGGUGAGAAUCCCGUCUUUGACACGGACUGCCAGUGCUUUGUGAUGCGCUCUCAAAGAGUCGAGUUGUUUGGGAAUGCAGCUCAAAAUGGGUGGUAAAUUCCAUCUAAAGCUAAAUAUUGGCGAGAGACCGAUAGCGAACAAGUACCGUGAGGGAAAGAUGAAAAGAACUUUGGAAAGAGAGUUAAACAGUACGUGAAAUUGCUGAAAGGGAAACGCUUGAAGUCAGUCGCGUUGGCCGGGGAUCAACCUUGCUUUUGCUGGGCGUACUUCCCGGUUAAUGGGUCAGCAUCAAUUUUGACCGUUGGAUAAAGGUCAAGGGAAUGUGGCAUCUUCGGAUGUGUUAUAGCCCUUGGUCGCAUACAACGGUUGGGAUUGAGGAACUCAGCACGCCGCAAGGCCGAGUAUUUAUACUACGUUCGUGCUUAGGAUGCUGGCAUAAUGGCUUUAAUCGACCCGUCUUGAAACACGGACCAAGGAGUCUAACAUGCCUGCGAGUGUUUGGGUGGAAAACCCGAGCGCGUAAUGAAAGUGAAAGUUGAGAUCCCUGUCGUCGGGAGCAUCGACGCCCGGACCAGACCUUCUGUGACGGAUCCGCGGUAGAGCAUGUAUGUUGGGACCCGAAAGAUGGUGAACUAUGCCUGAAUAGGGUGAAGCCAGAGGAAACUCUGGUGGAGGCUCGUAGCGAUUCUGACGUGCAAAUCGAUCGUCAAAUUUGGGUAUAGGGGCGAAAGACUAAUCGAACCAUCUAGUAGCUGG
rnacentral:rRNA from 1 species